UACGUAGGGGGCUAGCGUUGUCCGGAAUCAUUGGGCGUAAAGAGCGCGUAGGCGGCUAGAUAAGUCCGGUGUGAAAGUCACAGGCUCAACCUGUGAAUGCCGCUGGAAACUGUCUGGCUAGAGUCCGGAAGGGGCAAGUGGAAUUCCUGGUGUAGCGGUGGAAUGCGCAGAUAUCAGGAGGAACACCAAUAGCGAAGGCAGCUUGCUGGGACGGUACUGACGCUAAGGCGCGAAAGCGUGGGGAGCGAACAGG
rnacentral:rRNA from 1 species